rnacentral:snRNA from 1 species
AGAUGUGAAGGCAGUCUGACAUCUGUCACCCCAUUGAUGGCCAGAGUUGAUUUGGCUGAUCUGACAAGCUCGGAGUGUCCCCUUCCUCCCUCACCUCUCCAUGGGCGUCCCUCCCAAAGCUUCAUGCUGGGUUGAAGAGGAAGGUCUUCCCUGAAUAGAGACAUUCUGGUCUUUGGUUGAGGACAUACCAGUGGCUGCACUCCCCUGCUAGAAUCUCUAAACAAGCUCUCAAAAGAAACUCUCUCUUCAACUAGCUUAUUGUUUUAAUGUACAGCUCAGAACAUUAAAGCAGGGAAAACGCUUGAUAUGUUCACUUUAGU